GCCUGGCUGGCUCAGUAGGUAGAGUGUGUGACCCUGGAUCUCGGGGUUGUGAGUUCGAGCCCCGCGUCAGGCU
rnacentral:tRNA from 1 species